GAAACACGUGGUCUUCAAUGUUCAUACCAUUUUUUCCUUUCUUUAUUCUUCCUUUUUUUUGUAUGACUCCUAAAUCUUUUGUUCCCCAAAAAAUUGCUUCGUUCUAUGAUAACUCAAUUUACCAUUUCAACACUCCCAUUACUCAUCCCUACAAAAUCAAAGCGAAAACCCUAGGAUACGAAUAUAUACUGGAAAAGCACAUACAGAGAGAUUGAGAUAUUAAAAUUUUAAGCUAAGGCGUAAAACUAAGAAGCCGGGUCAUCUCUAAAAGCAGAACCACUGUAUCUUCAUUGAGGUCUCAUCAGCUUCUCUCUCUGGUAUUCAUUUUUCAAAUUGUAAGCUCUUUGUUUAGUUUUACAGGUAUCAGAACACCAUGUCACAACGAACCGACAUCAAUUAUGAAUCUACGAUGAUCAUAUAACACCAGCUUUAUCUGAUUGAACAUGCAAAAUGCAAGUUGUGGACAAAAUCAAGAGCGAGAAAAUCUUCACAAUAAAAAGAAGACUUCAGAAUUAAUCUUGCAAGAUGAAGAGAACUUGAAGCUGCAAUUAUGCUGCGCAACACAGCACGACUAUAGAAAUGCGGCGAACUGAAUUAUUUUGCUAAUGGGAACUUCAGGAAAAAGGGAUAAGAAAUUUUUUCUAUUUCUUCUUUCUAAAGGCAAGGCUAAGCCAUCCGCCCUUCAUUGCAGGGGAAAAGGGGAGACGGUUCCCAAGGGGUGGCUCUAUGUCACCUUCAAAGUUUUAUUGUAAGAUUUUAUUUUAAUAAACUUAUGUAUUACAUGCUCUAUAGCGUUAUGAAAGAACUAGGAUUGUCCCAAAAAAAGAUAUUGAUUCCUAGCCAGAGCAUGCAAGAGAUGUGUCCCAUUAUUUAUUAAAAUUGUUACCAAUGAAGCUUCAAAGAAGCUUGUUCCUACUUCAUUUUAGCAGUAGCUGUUGCUUCCCCGUGGCGGGUAAAUUAGAGGUAUCUCUAUUUUCUAUGCUCAUGAUACUUUGGCUGAUUACUAACCUCUAUUUUUAUAGUUGAAGGUUUUUGCAGGUUCAAUUUUAGUUUCUUAGAGCUUAGGUGUUUGGAGCUGAAUUUGAUAAUGAUAGAUGAUUUCAUAGGGUUGCCAACAACUUCAGCGCCAUCGCAGCUUGAGAUACUUAUCAUGAAUCACAAAUGCAGGAAGAAUGCUGAUGUCUCAAGCUGUUAGAGCUAUGUGUAGAUUCUGAGUAUGUUCUCUUCUAAAAUCUCUAUCUAAUUCCCCCUAUCCGUGGAACUGCAGUUCUUUAGUGAAAAAAGCUCCAUCAACCUUUCAAUACUAAAAUCAGUGACAACCGUGAUUACAAUAACCCAGGUGUCUCUAUUUGAAAAAGUGUCUGACAUCCUGCUUCACCUAUUGAUUGAGUUGAAUGUUUUGGUUGGCGCUUCAUACAACUAAUAUAUGGUGUUUUUGGUCCAUGCUAAGAAUAUUCAUAUGGAAUCUUAUUGGUUAAUUACAGUAAUUUCGAUUUUUUUCUGGAUCAAGCAUCAUGUCUCUAUGGUGUAUAUAUUUUCUUUUUGAUGUAAUAUUAGAGGUAGGAAGUGUCUUAGUCUUUUCUGUAGCUAUAAACUGUUCAAAAGUCGAUUCUCCAUUUCUGCUUUCAAUCUGGAGUUGCUAUCCUUUGGCUUGAUGCUUCUCUUACCUAUGUUGUUCGACUUGAAUGUGCCAUCAAGCUCUUGACGACAAUUCAAAAAGCACUGAUAUAGCAGUUUGGAGUGUCUUGCUGGUGAUGACCCUGAUCCUACUUCAAAUGAGAGACUACGUUAUGAAUCAAGACUAUGUUAUACCUCCAAAUAACACAAACUAUAUAUGUCAGGCAUAUGCCCGUGCACAGCACGGGCACCACCUAUCUAGUUUAAUUUAUAUGUAUGAGUAUUGGGUCGGGUGGGCCAGGUCGAGUUGAGUUA